rnacentral:rRNA from 1 species
UAAUACAGAGGUCUCGAGCGUUAGGCGGAAUCACUGGGCUUAAAGCGUGUGUAGGCGGGUCGUUAAGUGCCUUGUGAAAUCCCAUGGCUCAACCAUGGAACUGCUGGGCAUACUGGCGAUCUUGUGCCACCUAGGGGCGAGCGGAACAGAUGGUGGAGCGGUGAAAUGCGUAGAUAUCAUCUGGAACGCCAAUGGUGAAA